AAAAAAAAAAAAAAAAAAAAAAAAAAAAAAAAAUACCAUAGCCAGUGAGGUGUAUCCGAGGCGUGGUUAUUGCUAGUUGAAAACUAUUCCCAAUACCCCGUGCAGACGCCCUUAACUGGGCGGCUAGCACAAUUUUUAAUUGCCUCUACGGGGGCUA